AAACGGCUACCACAUCUAAGGAAGGCAGCAGGCGCGUAAAUUACCCAAUCCUGACUCAGGGAGGUAGUGACAAGAAAUAGCAAACCGGGAACCUCAUGGUUUCACGGUAUUGCAAUGAGAACGAUUUAAAACCCUUAGCGAGAAUCAAGUGGAGGACAAGUCUGGUGCCAGCACCCGCGGUAAUUCCAGCUCCACUAGCGUAUAUUAAAGUUGUUGCAGUUAAAAAGCUCGUAGUUGAACCUCUGUCUGGGGCUAGUCUUGGCUUUGGUCAGGCUAGUUCUAGGCAUCCGCCUACAAGACUUAGAGGGCAUUCAGUUGUUCACUAGGAGGAGUAGGCAUUUUACUUUGAAAAAAUUAGAGUGUUUAAGGCAGGCAAUCGCCCGCAUAUAUUAGCAUGGAAUAAUAGAAUAGGACACUUUUCCAUUUCGUUGGUUAUUGGAAUCGUGUAAUGAUUAAUAGGGACAGUUGUGGGCAUUUGUAUUUAAUUGUCAGAGGUGAAAUUCUUUGAUUUAUCAAAGACAAACUAACGCGAAAGCAUUUGCCAAGGAUGUUUUCAUUAAUCAAGAACGAAAGUUAGGGGAUCAAAGACGAUCAGAUACCGUCCUAGUCUUAACUAUAAACUAUUCCGACUCAAUGUUUGACUGGCUUAUAUAACCAGUUGAGCGUUGUAUGAGAAAUCAAAGUCUUUAGGUUCUGGGGGGAGUAUGGUUGCAAAGCUGAAACUUAAAGGAAUUGACGGAAGAGCACAACCAGGAGUGGAUUCUGCGGCUUAAUUUGACUCAACACGGGGAAACUUACCAGGUUAAAACAAUAGUGGGAUUGACAGUUUGAGAGCGCUUUCUUGAUUGGUUGGGUGGUGGUGCAUGGCCGUUCUUAGUUGGUGGAGUGAUUUGUCUGCUUAAUUGCGUUAACGAACGAGACCUUAACCUGCUUACUAGACUGGCGAUCAUCAAUCGUUAGCUCUUCUUAGAGGGACUUUGGUUGUUUUAACUCCAAGGAAGUUUGAGGCAAUAACAGGUCUGUGAUGCCCUUAGAUAUCCUGGGCCGCACGCGUCAUACAAUGACUAGUUCAGAAAGUUUUCUCCUGACGCGAAAGGGGAUGGGUAAUCUUGAUAAUACUAGUCGUGUUAGGGAUCGAUCUUUGCAAUUAUAGAUCUUGAACGAGGAAUUCCUAGUAAGUGCGGUUCAUCAGACCGUACUGAUUACGUCCCUGCUCUUUGUACACACCGCCCGUCGCUUCUACCGAGUGGGUGGUCCGGUGAGAUAAUUGAACUUCGCAGGUAACUGAGAGGAAAGAUUAUCAAACCUAUCCACCUCGAGGAAGAAGAAGUCGUAACAAGGUU
rnacentral:rRNA from 1 species